UACGUAGGUGGCGAGCGUUGUCCGGAUUUACUGGGCGUAAAGGGAGCGUAGGCGGACUUUUAAGUGAGAUGUGAAAUACCCGGGCUCAACUUGGGUGCUGCAUUUCAAACUGGAAGUCUAGAGUGCAGGAGAGGAGAAUGGAAUUCCUAGUGUAGCGGUGAAAUGCGUAGAGAUUAGGAGGAACACCAGUGGCGAAGGCGGCUCUCUGGUCUGCCCCUGACGCUGAGAUGCGAAAGCUAGGUUAGCGAACGGGAUUAGAUACCCGUGUA
rnacentral:rRNA from 1 species